rnacentral:rRNA from 1 species
CCAGCAGCUGCGGUAAUUCCAGCUCCAGUAGCGUAUAUUAAUGUUGUUGCAGUUAAAAAGCUCGUAGUUGGAUUUCUAGCCGAUUUGCAUGGUCCGUUGACUACGUCUGCGAGUACCGUCGUAAAUCGUCUAUCCUAUCAGUUUAUUUGGGUUACGGCCCAGGUUGACUGGUUCUUUUACUUUGAAAAAAUUAGAGUGUUCCAAGCAAGCUUACGCUUUGAAUACAUUAGCAUGGAAUAAUAAUAUAGGACUUUUGUCUUAUUUUGUUGGUUUCUAAGAUGGAAGUAAUGAUUGAUAGGGAUAGUUGGGGGUGCUAGUAUUCAGCGGCCAGAGGUGAAAUUCUUGGAUUCGCUGAAGACUAACUACUGCGAAAGCAUUCACCAAGGAUGUCUUCUUUAAUCAAGAACGAAAGU